CCCUGCAGGGCGAAGCCUGAUCCGCACGCCGCGCGCAGGAAGAAGGCCCCCGGGCCGACACCGCCCCCGUACGGAACGAAACGGCCCCCCCUAAUAAAGAGGGCCAAUGACGGUACCGUAAGAAUAAGCACCGGCUAACCACGCGCCAGCAGCCGCGGUAAUACGUAGGGUGCGAGCGUUAAUCGGAAUCACUGGGCGUAAAGCGUGCGCAGGCGGUUCUAUAAGACAGAUGUGAAAUCCCCGGGCUCAACCUGGGAAUGGCAUUUGUGACUGUAGAGCUAGAGUACGGUAGAGGGGGAUGGAAUUCCGCGUGUAGCAGUGAAGUGGGUAGAUAUGCGGAGGAACACCGACGGCGAAGGCAAUCCCCUGGACCUGUACUGACGCUCAUGCACGAAAG
rnacentral:rRNA from 1 species